rnacentral:RNase_P_RNA from 1 species
GGAGUCGGACGGGCUGUCGCUGCGCGCCUCUGGCGCGGGGAGGAAAGUCCGGGCUUCACAGGGCAGGAUGCUGGCUAACGGCCAGAGCGGGCGACCGCUGGCAAGCGCAACAGAAAGCAGACCGCCAUCGUUCAGGGUGGCAAGGGUGAAACGGCGAGGUAAGAGCUCACCGGCCGUCAUGGCGACAUGGCGGGCCAGGCAAGCCCCAUCCGAAGCAAGACCAAAUAGGGAAACCGGCCGGCCCGGCCCAUGGUUUCCGGGUAGGUUGCUGGAGGGCGCAGGCAACUGCGCUCCUAGAGGAAUGACAGCCGCCGCCUCAUGGCGGCACAAAACCCGGCUUACAGUCUGACUCCCAAA